rnacentral:miRNA from 1 species
GUAAUGGUCCCUUCCUUCAAGGAGCUUACAGUCAAGCUGGGGAGGCAGGGCUUCCUCUAUAUAAAAGUAACUAGAGAAAUUAUAGGCCAGG